rnacentral:rRNA from 1 species
GAAACUCGCCUAUAUGAAGUCGGAAUUGCUAGUAAUCGCGGAUCAGCAUGCCGCGGUGAAUACGUUCCCGGGCCUUGUACACACCGCCCGUCACACCAUGAGAGUCGAUAACACCCGAAGCCUGUAGUCUAACAGCAAUGAGGACGCAGUCGAAGGUGGGAUUGAUAAUUAGGGUGAAGUCGUAACAAGGUAGC